rnacentral:rRNA from 1 species
GACGAACGCUGGCGGCGUGCCUAAUACAUGCAAGUCGAACGCAGUGGGGACGGGUGAGUAACACGUGGGUAACCUCCCAUCAGAGGGGAUACCACUUGGAAACAGCUGCUAAACCGAUACUGAUGGAUGAACCCGCGGUGCAUUAGCUAGUUGGUGAGGUAACGGCUCACCAAGGCCACGAUGCAUAGCCGACCUGGGAGGGUGACUGGCGCCGCGGGGACUGAGACACGGCCCCGACACCUACGGGAGGCAGCAGUAGGGAAACUUCGGCAAUGGACGACAGUCUGACCGAGCAAAGCCGCGUGAGUGAAGCAAGUUUUACGAUCGUAAACCUCUGUUGUUAGAGAAGCGGUAUCUAACCAGAAAGCCACGGCUAACUACGUGCCAGCAGCCGCGGUAAUUC